rfam:Ictidomys tridecemlineatus contig062687, whole genome shotgun sequence.
GGGGUUGUGGCUCAGCGGUAGAGCACUCCCCUUGCAUGUGGGAGACCCUGGGUUCGAUCCUCAGCACCA